UCCUGACUUAUGUUAAAAAGAACACAAGUAUAUAUGACUUAUGUCUAACAGCACAACUAGGAAUUUUAGUUUGUUACAACACAAUAUUUUCUUCCAUCAAUCCAUACUAGCUACGUUUUCCGUACUAGGCAAAUCUAUAUAAAAUUUAUGGAAAACAUUAAUUUGGUAUUAUUGUUAGUAGAGAAACCAAGUCACCUUUUUGUCUUUUGAUAUAGUUAAAGGCAAUAGUGAUAAAAUUGGAAUGUUAUUAGGUAUAAAGGAUGAGUGCGGCCCAAAAGAUUAACUGUCAUCAACACGCUUAACUUCACGCGCAACUUUGAUAUAUCCAAAAAGCAUAGGCCCCAAGUUGGAUACGACCUAUCAUAUUCACAGCAACUCGGAUACAUCAUAUUAAGAAAAAUAAAUAUUUAGAAUAAUAUAGAAAUUGAAUCAAUGAUGUAUCAAAGUUGCGCGUGAAGUUAGGCGUGUUGAUGAUAGUUGAGAUUUUGGGGGCGACCCAUAAAGGAUGCCCUCCGUCUUAAAUGUAUCUUGUGAAAAUUUGAUUCCAUUUGUAAGAAACCAUUCCAAAUUCCGUAUCAUAGCGGAGCCACCUUUUGUCCAACCAUUUAAACUGCUUUCCAUCUACAUUUUUAUUUCUUAAUACCAAAGUAAAAGUCCAAAAA
rnacentral:lncRNA from 1 species